rnacentral:rRNA from 1 species
UACGGAGGGGGGCAAGCGUUGUUCGGAAUUACUGGGCGUAAAGGGCGCGCAGGCGGCUGCUCAAGUCAGGCGUGAAAAGGCCUGGGCUCAACCCCGGGAAUUGCGCUUGAGACUGGGCUGGCUUGAGUGCGGGAGAGGAUGGUGGAAUUCCCAGUGUAGAGGUGAAAUUCGUAGAUAUUGGGAAGAACACCGGUGGCGAAGGCGGCCAUCUGGACCGCAACUGACGCUGAGGCGCGAAAGCGUGGGGAGCAAACAGGG